rnacentral:misc_RNA from 1 species
UGGUUCCCGCAUCGAUGAAGAACGCAGCGAAACGCGAUAGUUAAUGUGAAUUGCAGAAUUCAGUGAAUCAUCGAGUCUUUGAACGCACAUUGCGCCUUUUGGUAUUCCGAGAGGCACGCCUGUUCGAGCGUCAGUGAAAACCUUCCGGGUGAUAUUUCAUCGCGGGACUUUGGCGCGGGAAUCGCGGGGGGAUCGCUCCCCCCUUUCCCCGCUUAAACGCGCAGAAAAGCCAGCGGACCUGUUGACCGCGGAGACUUAGUAAGUUUGCCUAGCCUCCGUGUGUUCAAAAAGGGGAUCGCCAUACAAACAGGGGGUUCGCCCCCACUGACUCUUGACCUCGAAUCAGACGAGGAUACCCGCUGA